rnacentral:rRNA from 1 species
AACGAACGCUGGCGGCAUGCCUAACACAUGCAAGUCGAACGAAGUCUUCGGACUUAGUGGCGCACGGGUGCGUAACGCGUGGGAAUCUGCCCUUGGGUGCGGAAUAACUUCUCGAAAGGGAUGCUAAUACCGCAUAAUGUCGUAAGACCAAAGAUUUAUCGCCCAAGGAUGAGCCCGCGUAAGAUUAGCUAGUUGGUGGGGUAAAAGCCUACCAAGGCGACGAUCUUUAGCUGGUCUGAGAGGAUGAUCAGCCACACUGGGACUGAGACACGGCCCAGACUCCUACGGGAGGCAGCAGUGGGGAAUAUUGGACAAUGGGCGAAAGCCUGAUCCAGCAAUGCCGCGUGAGUGAUGAAGGCCCUAGGGUUGUAAAGCUCUUUACCAGGGAUGAUAAUGACAGUACCUGGAGAAUAAGACUCCGGCUAACUCCGUGCCAGCAGCCGCGGUAAU